AUUGAACGCUAGCGGGAUGCCUUACACAUGCAAGUCGAACGGAGUUGCGAACGGGUGAGUAAUGUAUAGGAACGUGCCCAGUAGCGGGGGAUAACUACGCGAAAGCGUAGCUAAUACCGCAUACUAUUGGCUCGGCCGAUAUCGUAUUAGCUAGUUGGUGGGGGAACGUCUCACCAAGGCGACGUUCCGUAGCUGGUUUGAGAGGACGACCAGCCACACUGGGACUGGGACACGGCCCAGACUCCUACGGGAGGCAGCAGUGGGGAAUUUUGGACAAUGGGGGAAACCCUGAUCCAGCCAUCGCGAGUGUGCGAGGAAGGCCUUCGGGUUGUAAAGCACUUUUGGCAGGAAAGCGGUACCUGCAGAGUAAGCACCGGCUAACUACGUGCCAGCAGCCGCGGUAAUAC
rnacentral:rRNA from 1 species